UCCUACGGGGGGCAGCAGUGAGGAAUAUUGGUCAAUGGUCGGGAGACUGAACCAGCCAAGCCGCGUGAGGGAGGAAGGUACAGAGUAUCGUAAACCUCUUUUGUCAGGGAACAAAGGCGGGGACGUGUCCCCGGAUGAGUGUACCUGAAGAAAAAGCAUCGACUAACUCCGUGCCAGCAGCCGCGGUAAUACGGAGGAUGCGAGCGUUAUCCGGAUUUAUUGGGUUUAAAGGGUGCGCAGGCGGUCUGUUAAGUCAACGGUCAAAGCCCGGGGCUCAACCCCGGCCCGCCGUUGAAACUGGCAGG
rnacentral:rRNA from 1 species